rnacentral:rRNA from 1 species
UAAUACGGGAGGUGCGAGCGUUAAUCGGAAUUACUGGGCGUAAAGCGAGCGUAGGCUGUUAAGUAAGUCGAAUGUGAAAUCCCCGGGCUCAACCUGGGAACUGCAUUCGAAACUAUUUAACUAGAGUAUGGGAGAGGAAAGUAGAAUUUCCGGUGUAGCGGUGAAAUGCGUAGAUAUCGGAGGGAAUACCAGUGGCGAAGGCGGCUUUCUGGAACAAUACUGACGCUAAGGUUCGAAAGCGUGGGGAGCAAACAGGAUUAGAUACCCUGGUAGUCCACGCCGUAAACGAUGAGAACUAGAUGUCGGGAGGAUUGGCCUCUCAGUGUCGCAGCUAACGCAAUAAGUUCUCCGCCUGGGGAGUACGACCGCAAGGUUG